rnacentral:rRNA from 1 species
AACGAACGCUGGCGGCAUGCCUAACACAUGCCAGUCGAACGAGACCUUCGGGUCUAGUGGCGCACGGGUGCGUAACGCGUGGGAACCUGCCUUUAGGUUCGGAAUAACUCAGAGAAAUUUGAGCUAAUACCGGAUGAUGUCUUCGGACCAAAGAUUUAUCGCCUUUAGAUGGGCCCGCGUUGGAUUAGCUAGUUGGUGGGGUAAAGGCCUACCAAGGCGACGAUCCAUAGCUGGUCUGAGAGGAUGAUCAGCCACACUGGGACUGGGACACGGCCCAGACUCCUACGGGAGGCAGCAGUGGGGAAUAUUGGACAAUGGGCGAAAGCCUGAUCCAGCAAUGCCGCGUGAGUGAUGAAGGCCUUAGGGUUGUAAAGCUCUUUUACCCGAGAUGAUAAUGACAGUAUCGGGAGAAUAAGCUCCGGCUAACUCCGUG